rnacentral:rRNA from 1 species
UACGUAGGGUGCAAGCGUUGUCCGGAAUUAUUGGGCGUAAAGAGCUCGUAGGCGGUCUGUCGCGUCGGCUGUGAAAUCCCGAGGCUCGACCUCGGGUCUGCAGUCGAUACGGGCAAACUGGAGUGUUGCAGGGGAGACUGGAAUUCCUGGUGUAGCGGUGAAAUGCGCAGAUAUCAGGAGGAACACCGGUGGCGAAGGCGGGUCUCUGGGCAACAACUGACGCUGAGGAGCGAAAGCGUGGGGAGCGAACAGG